AAUCCCUUCAAAAAACUUGUGUUUACUGGAAUGACAUCCUUGAUAUACAUAGACGCUUCACAAACCCCUUAUCUAACAAUCGAUGCAAGUACAUUUAUAAACACCUCGCAGCUGACUGAAAUCAACUUCAUACAGUCUGGUUUCACUGAUAUACCUAACAACACCUUCUUGCCACUGGGAAAUGUAAG